rnacentral:rRNA from 1 species
UACGUAGGCAGCAAGCGUUGUUCGGAAUUACUGGGCGUAAAGAGUGUGUAGGCGGUGCUCUAAGUUCGGUGUGAAAUCUCCUGGCUCAACUGGGAGGGUGCGCCGGAAACUGGAGUGCUUGAGCGUGGGAGAGGAAAGCGGAAUUCCUGGUGUAGCGGUGAAAUGCGUAGAUAUCAGGAGGAACACCUGUGGUGUAGACGGCUUUCUGGACCAUAGCUGACGCUGAGACACGAAAGCGUGGGGAGCAAACAGG